GAUGGACGCUGGCGGCGUGCCUAAUACAUGCAAGUCGAGCGAACAGACGAGGAGCUUGCUCCUCUGACGUUAGCGGCGGACGGGUGAGUAACACGUGGAUAACCUACCUAUAAGACUGGGAUAACUUCGGGAAACCGGAGCUAAUACCGGAUAAUAUAUUGAACCGCAUGGUUCAAUAGUGAAAGACGGUUUUGCUGUCACUUAUAGAUGGAUCCGCGCCGCAUUAGCUAGUUGGUAAGGUAACGGCUUACCAAGGCAACGAUGCGUAGCCGACCUGAGAGGGUGAUCGGCCACACUGGAACUGAGACACGGUCCAGACUCUUACGGGAGGCAGCAGUAGGGAAUCUUCCGCAAUGGGCGAAAGCCUGACGGAGCAACGCCGCGUGAGUGAUGAAGGUCUUCGGAUCGUAAAACUCUGUUAUUAGGGAAGAACAAAUGUGUAAGUAACUAUGCACGUCUUGACGGUACCUAAUCAGAAAGCCACGGCUAACUACGUG
rnacentral:rRNA from 1 species